rnacentral:snoRNA from 1 species
AAACCAUGAUGUGGGCAUUGAGACCAGUAGCUUAUUAACCUUUCCCAUGCUUCACUUAAACCUUCAAGAUUCUUCUAUUGAAAUCCAGAGAUCUCAUUCCUAAGCUU